CCUACGUGGGGCAGCAGUGAGGAAUAUUGGUCAAUGGGCGCGAGCCUGAACCAGCCAAGUAGCGUGAAGGAUGACUGCCCUACGGGUUGUAAACUUCUUUUAUAAAGGAAUAAAGUGAGGCACGUGUGCCUUUUUGUAUGUACUUUAUGAAUAAGGAUCGGCUAACUCCGUGCCAGCAGCCGCGGUAAUAGGGAGGAUCCGAGCGUUCUCCGGAUUUAUUGGGUUUAAAGGGAGCGUAGAUGGGUGGAUAAGUCAGUUGUGAAAGUUUGAGGCUCAACCGUAAAAUUGCAAGUGAUACCGGCAGUGUAGAGUACAGUAGAGGUAGGCGGAAUUCGUGGUGUAGCGGUGAAAUGCGUAGAUAGCACGAAGAACACCGAUUGCGAAGGCAGCUUACUAAGCUGCCACUGACGGUGAUGCGCGAAAGCGUGGGUAGCAAACAGGAUUAGAUACCCCUGUAGGC
rnacentral:rRNA from 1 species